AACGUAGGGGGCGAGCGUUGCCCGGAUUCACUGGGCGUAAAGCGCGUGUAGGCGGUCUGUUAAGUCGGAUGUGAAAUCUCUGGGCUUAACCCAGAAAUCGCAUCCGAUACUGGCAGACUUGAGGACGGUAGAGGUUGGUGGAAUUCCCGGUGUACCGGUGAAAUGGACAGAUAUCGGGAGGAACACCAGUGGCGAAGGCGGCCAACUGGGCCGAUCCUGACGCUGAGACGCGAAAGCCAGGGGAGCGAACCGG
rnacentral:rRNA from 1 species